CUACGGGUGGCUGCAGUGAGGAAUAUUGCACAAUGGGGGGGACCCUGAUGCAGCAACGCCGCGUGGAGGAUGACGCAUUUCGGUAUGUAAACUCCUUUUAUAUGUCAAGAAAAUGACGGUAGCAUAUGAAUAAGCACCGGCUAACUCCGUGCCAGCAGCCGCGGUAAUACGGAGGGUGCAAGCGUUACUCGGAAUCACUGGGCGUAAAGGACGCGUAGGCGGGUUGGAAAGUCAGGUGUGAAAUCCUACAGCUUAACUGUAGAACUGCACUUGAAACUUCUAAUCUAGAGUAUGGGAGGGGGAGAUGGAAUUAGUGGUGUAGGGGUAAAAUCCGUAGAUAUCACUAGGAAUACCUAAAGCGAAGGCGAUCUCCUGGAACAUUACUGACGCUAAGGCGUGAAAGCGUGGGGAGCAAACAGGAUUAGAUACCCCGGUAGUC
rnacentral:rRNA from 1 species